rnacentral:rRNA from 1 species
CGCUUGAAAAGCUCUUUUGUCGAGUGUGCGAUCAUGACAGGACUCGAGGAAGAAGCCCCGGCUAACUGCAUGCCAGCAGCCGCGGUAAGACGGGGGGGCAAGUGUUCUCCAGAAUGACUGGGUCUAAAGGGCACGUAGGCGGUGAAUCGGGUUGAAAGUGAUAGUUGCCAAAAAGUGGUGGAAUGCUCUCGAAACCAAUUCACUUGAGUGAGACAGAGGAGAGUGGAAUUUCGUGUGUAGGGGUGAAAUCCAUAGAUCUACAAAGGAACGCCAAAAGGGAAAGCAGCUCUCUGGGUCCCUACCGAUGCUAGGGUGCGAAAUCAUGGGGAGCGAAUAGGAUUAGAUACCCUAGUAGUCCAUGCCGUAAAUGAUGUGUGUUCGCCCUUGGUCUAUUAGGAUCAGGGGCCCAGCUAUCGCGUGAAACACUCCG